rnacentral:rRNA from 1 species
AACGAACGCUGGCGGCAGGCUUAACACAUGCAAGUCGAACGGGUGUAGCAAUACAUCAGUGGCAGACGGGUGAGUAACACGUGGGAACCUUCCUAGGGGGUACGGAACAACUCAGGGAAACUUGAGCUAAUACCGUAUACGUCCGUGAGGAGAAAGAUUUAUCGCCCUUAGACGGGCCCGCGUCGGAUUAGGUAGUUGGUGGGGUAACGGCCUACCAAGCCUACGAUCCGUAGCUGAUCUGAGAGGAUGAUCAGCCACACUGGGACUGAGACACGGCCCAGACUCCUACGGGAGGCAGCAGUGGGGAAUCUUGGACAAUGGGCGCAAGCCUGAUCCAGCCAUGCCGCGUGAGUGAAGAAUGCCUUAGGGUUGUAAAGCUCUUUUACCAGGGACGAUAAUGACGGUACCUGGAGAAUAAGCCCCGGCAAACUUCGUGCCAGCCGCCGCAGUAA